rnacentral:rRNA from 1 species
GACGAACGCUGGCGGCGUGCCUAAUACAUGCAAGUCGAGCGGGGAUUAUGCUUGAUCGCUUCGGUGAGACGGCAUAUAUCCUAGCGGCGGACGGGUGAGUAACGCGUGGGUAAUCUACCUCGUAGUUCGGGAUAACAGGCCGAAAGGCUUGCUAAUAUCGGAUGAGUUCAUGCUUAUGCAUAUAGGCAUGAAGAAAGGGCUAGCCCGCUAUGAGAUGAGCCCGCGUCCCAUUAGCUUGUUGGUGGGGUAAUGGCCUACCAAGGCAACGAUGGGUAGCCGGCCUGAGAGGGUGACCGGCCACACUGGGACUGAGACACGGCCCAGACUCCUACGGGAGGCAGCAGUAGGGAAUUUUCGGCAAUGGGGGAAACCCUGACCGAGCAACGCCGCGUGGGGGAAGAAGGCCUUCGGGUCGUAACCUCUGUCUUUGGGACGAUAAUGACGGUACCCGAGGAGGAAGCCCCGGCUAACUACGUGCCAGCACGCCGCGGUAAAGUACUCUAU